CCAUAAAAUAAAUAUAAAUAAUAUACAAACCCAUCAAAACAUUUCUCCUCCUUCUUCAGCGAGACUACCACCUAGCCACCGUCGCUAUGGUCGACCACACUAUUGUCAUCUCCACUAUAGCUCCCCUCACCACUUUCCCCACUACUAAUGGAAGUCACAAAGCGAAAAAGCAGCUUGCAAGUAGCAUCGGUCAAAGAGGAUUAGGAAAUUAUUGGGGAAAACCUAGGAGAACAAGACAAUAUAGCCGAGAAAAAUUCUUUGGUGGGUUCAUCUAUCUCUCGUGUUGGAGGUGAUAAAUCCUUGCAGGAAGAGACCCAUGCCACUAUUACUGUUCACCCCCAACACAAUGUACGAAGAAGCACGUCGAAUUAAAGGGCAUGUCUAUCUCAGACUUGAGUAGAUCUAGUGAGUCAGGGCUUAAGGAAAGCAGAUCUGACCCCUUUGGAAGUAGAAUUGGAGGUAGAUAAGCUAGAGGUUCUGGAACAAAUCAAGGCAAUAGUGACUGUUACCAGCAAGUCGAUCUAAUAUUUGGCCCUCUCUCAUCCUCUUCCUUUUCACCGCUUACUUGUGGAACUCGACAAUGCAGGUCCUUUGACGUGUUUGAAUGCUAUAACAAUGCGUGUCUCGACGAGGAAUCUUUGUCGGAGCCGUCGGUUUAAUUGGCUUAAGCGACGGUGCAUUAUCUUUCCCUUCUCAAUUUUGAGAUUUUUUUGAUUUUUUUUGUGGAGGGUGAUUCCAUUGGUAGUGGGGGAAGUGGUGAGGGGAGUUGUGGUGGAGAUGACAAUAGUGUGAUCGGCGGUGGCGGCGAUGGCUAAGUGGUAGUCUCGCCGAAAAAGGAGGAGGAGAAAUGUUUUCAUGGAUUUAUAUAUUAUUUAUAUUUAUUUUUUGGUUUUUUAAUUUAAUUAAAUAACUUAUUUUAUUUUUAAUAUGAAAAAAGCAAAGUACCAUUUUGCCCCUUUUAAUUUGGUCAAAAUUGAUCAGUUUUUCUAAUUUUUGGUCAAUUAACGGACAAUGGAUGGUUUUCGUCCAAAUGAAUUUCAGUUGCACAUUUAUGAAAGGUCGGGGAUCUUCACUGGCACAAAAUGAAGGUUACGGUAAAGUCUGCAAAAAUUGAAAAAGUUAGGGACGGCUGCUGCAAUUUUUCCUAAAUUUUACUAGGUCAAAUAUUUAAUUAGUGAUAGAGUAAUGAAAAAUAUAUCAAUAUUGGGCUCGUUGGAUAGCUCGUAAUUAAUUGCGGAUGUUGGACUCGAGAAAAAGUCAAUUCGGAUAAGUUAGAUUCAAGAUAAUGAAGUUUAUAGACCUCGUCCACUCGGCUCACGAAAACGAAGCUCAUGGGUGGCUUAGACUCGUAAAAACACGAGUGUAAGCCGAGCGGGCCGGUUCGGUGGGCGAGCCGAGCGGGAACGAACCGUUCCGGCUCGUGGGCUCAUUUCAAAAGUGACCGAAACGGUCACUUUUUUUAGUGAUUGUUACAGUCACUGACUUUUGUCAGUGAUCGUUUCGGUCCUUGAAUUUUUUUAUUAAUAAUUAUGAUCGUUAACGGUCAUUGAAUUUUUUCAGUGACCGUUUCGGUCCUUUAACUUUUUUUUCCUUCUAUAAAUAGUGUCAUUUAGCCACUAUUUUUUCUAUAAUUCACUCUCAACUCUCAAUUCUCCUUCUCUCAACUCUCUUGUGUUGUGUUGAUAGUUGUGCAAUUUUUAUAUACAAUUUAUACAAUAUCCAAUUUUCAUUUCUCAGUUCUCACUAUAUUUAUUGAAAUUUCAUCCAAUUUUCAUUUCUCACUACAUUUAUAUAAUUAUUCUUUUACUAGUUAUUACUUAUUACAAUUAAACAAAUUGAUCCACGCACAUUUGUCGAAAACUUGUUUGGUGUGGGAGGAAGCGAAUCACCUAUGACACUGCAAAGUUAAUUUCAGAAUCAAUUUGAAGGUUUAAAUGACGUACCCCUACCUGAAGAUAUUCCAGAUUGGAUCUUUAUCAUCAUGUAAGCGGCAAUCCAAAUUUUUCAAUUAAUUUGGAUGAUGUUGAUGUCCCCGAAGUGGAACACGAUCAGGAAGAAAAAGCUGAAUUAAACAUUCCUGAUGCGAGGGGAAAGUGAAAGUGGAAAAAAUAAGCAAAAUGUUGGGAUCACUUUAAGUUGAUUUCAACGAGAAAAAUCGUCAAUGGAGUCCCAAAAUCCAAAGCAGUAUGUGAAUACUGCCAACAAAGAUUGGCAUGGCAAAGAGGAAUUGGUACCACCCAUCUCAACCGUCAUUACAAAGUAUGUGCGGCCACACACGAACUUAUUCUAGGCUGUCAAACACAAUUGCAUUUUGGCAAUCCAAACGCCGGUGGUUCUGCUGCACCCCUAUCCACAUGGGUGUAUUCGGAGGAGAGAGCUCGAACUGGAAUGGUGAAGCUUGUUGCUGGUGCUGAGUUGCCUUUGGCAUUAAUUGACAACCAACAGUACUCUGGUAUGUGAAAAAAUAUCUGCAGCCAAGGUACGUUGAGGUAAGUCGAAACACUCUUUGUUCCGAUACAAUACAAUAUUUUACUGAAACAAAACAACAAUUAAUUAUGGAUUUGCAAAAAUAUGGGGGUGUUAUAUCUUUAACUUUGGAUAUAUGGGAAGGGAUUAAUAAAAGAGCAUAUAUAGCUGCAACUGCACAUUAUAUAGAUCCACUUUGAUGCAUGCAUAAAAAAAUUAUUGCUUUUAGAAUUAUUGAGUUUUAUCACAACGCUAAUAAUAUAUUUAAUGCUAUUAUUAGUAUUGUUAGAGAAUAUAAUUGCGAAAGUAAAAUUCGUUCAUUUACUUUCGAUAAUACUAGUGUUAAUAAAGUAGUUACCGAUAAAUUGCAUAGAGUACUGGAACCAGAUUUUGGUGGGUAUUUGUUUCAUAUUCGUUGUGUAUAUCAUAUUUUGAAUUUAAUUGUCCAAAAUGGUUUAAAACAUAUAAAGGAUGAAUUUCAAAAUAUUAGGAACGCACUAAUAUAUAUCACAAUCUCUCCAAGUAGAAACACGAGCAUUUGAGAAUUAUUGUGCCGAAAUAGGCGUGCAAAAUGCUAAAAUAUUUGUUAGCGACGUAGGUCAUAUGUGGAACUCUACUUACUUGUUAUUAAAGUCAUGUGAAGGUUUUGAACAUUUAAUAACUGACUUUUAUAACAAUAGACAUAUUAGAAGUGAUGAUGAGGGUAUAUUGACUGAACGUGAUUGGCAAAUCGCUUUGAAAAUUAAAAGAUUUUUGACAUCUUUUUAUAAAACCACUAAGAUUUUAUCGAGCGUUUACUAUCCCACCAGCUGUAUAGUGCUUGAAGGUCUUUAUAUAAUUGCAAGAAUAAUUCAUAAAUAAAAUGACCUUGGUUUUAGUGAAAUUAUAAUUGCUAUGGAAUUAAAAUUUAGAAAAUAUUGGGAAGACUUGCCUAUGUUAUUUCCUUUAGCAUGCGUGAUGGACUCCCGAUAUAAUUUAUCGGGAACUAAAUAUAUAAUUGAUCAAAUUUCAAACGCUUUAACAUUUGAUACACCUAUCACAUAUAGAAAUUUAGAGCAAAUAUUAUGUGAAAUGUAUGAAUUUAUGCGAAUCGAAUGUGUACAAAUAUUAGUCGGGUACCAUCUGCACCUACUCCUUCCGCUGAUAUUGAAUAAGAAGAUGCGGAAAUAUUUAAUUUAUCUCAAGGCAUUAAUUCGUAUAGAUAUGAUUCAUCUGUAAUGUGUUCAUCUACUACCACUGCCAUGUCGUCACCAUCUGUAUCUCAUUCUCAUCAAACAUCUACGGGCUAAAGCCAUAAUGCAUUGCUUGCUGAAUUAAUUGAUUAUUUCAACUAGAAUAUGCCAACAGAUAAAACAAUUAAAAAAAGUUUAGACGAAAUAAUUGAAUUCUGGCGAAAGUAUGAACGACAUUGGCCAGUUAUAUGUGUGAUUGCAAAAGAUCUGCUGACACCUCCAGUUAGCACUAUUGUUUCAAAGUCUGCUUUUAGUGCAGGUAAAAGAGUUUUGAGUGAGGUCAGGAGCCGACUGAAAGAAGAUAUUUUAGAAGCGUUAAUGUGCGUUAAAGAUUGGCAGGACGCUCAUUUUCGAUUACAAGAUAAAUAUGCCGAAAUUGCAUGUCAUCAAGUAAGUGAUAUUUGAUUUAAUUAUACUAAUGAAACUUUUCUUUCCUUAUUGUUACUUUUAAUUUUCUUUAAAAAAUUGUACACGCUACAAAAAAUUGUUCGUGUACAAUUUUUAACUUCGCCUACUGAAAAUUUAAGUAGUUGGUCCCAAGCUCAGAUAAAGGAGGAAGAUUUAUAUUUUAUCUAUUUUAAAAAGAAAAAUAAAAAAAAUAAAGAUUUCAUUUUUAUUUUUUCCCAUCUCUUUUAGUUUAAAAAAAAUAAAUCUUUCCACCAAUUUAGUUAAAUUUUUGUUAGUACUUGGUACUAUUACUACUAUAUGUCUACAUUUUAAAUUCUUUUCUCGAACAACGCUGUGCGUACCUUUGCAUAUAAUUUUCGAAAUAAAUUCCUUCUGAAAAUUGAAAGGGUAAUCGAAUGAUUGCCCUUUCAAUUGUCAGAAGUCUUUCACUUUGAAAAUUAUAUAUAAUCUUCGAAGUGAAAGACUUCUAUAUAAUCUUUGAAGUGAAGACUUCUGACAAUUGAAAGGGCAUUCGAUUACUCUUUCAAUUUUUCGAAGGGAUUUAUUUCGAAAAUUAUAUGCAAAGGAACGCGCAGCGUUGCUUGAAAAAAUGAUUUUUAAUACUGUUUUAAAUUUUCUUUAAAAAAUUGUAUACGAACAAUUACAAACAACACAAUUUUUAACUCCGCCUACUCUAAAUUUAAGUAACCGGUCACAAGCCCGGAUAAAGGAGGGGGUUUAAAUUUUUUACCUAGUUUUUUAUAUAUAAAAUUUUUUUAUAUAAAAAAUUAACGAUUUAAAAAUUAAAAUUACUUUUUUUAUUUUCCAAUUUACCUAUUUGUUUCCCCAAAAAAAAAAUGAAAAAUGACAUCUGCUCGCGAGCUAAGCUCGCCCAUUUUUGGACGAGCCGAGCUCAUGCUUUCAUGGGUCGAGCUGACUCAGCUCGGCCCAUUGACACCCCAAUAGUAAUUGUUUAUAUUUAUUAUUAUUUUUACAAAGAAUGCCAACACGUGUAGAUUGGAUAGGGUUAGAAUAAAAUAGUAUUUUUUUUGGUAGGAAUGAUAAAAUAUAUUAUAUCAUAGUCAAGUUUAUUGGAUUAUUGUGUCAGCUCGACCCAUUUACACCCCAAUAGUAAUUGUUUAUAUUUAUUAUUAUUUUUACAAAGAAUGCCAACACGUGUAGAUUGGGUAGGGUUAGAAUAAAAUAGUAUUUUUUUGGUAGGAAUGAUAAAAUAUAUUAUAUCAUAGUCAAGUUUAUUGGAAUAUUACACAAUAAUCAUGACAUUGUGCUCCCAUGAUGUAAGCCAUCCUUGAUUGAGAAUUUGGCAAUUUUCCUUGUUUGAAUGGAAAGGAAUUGAUAGAGACGUGUUUGAAUAAAAAGCAAAUUAGUAAAUUGAGCCACUGACAUGGGAAAGCGUGUGGCUUUAUGAUGUGAUAUAAAUGGUAUAGAUAGCAUACACGUAGAAACUCCUUCUCUACCUUAAAUAAGCAUUUCACAUUUAGGAAAAAAAAGUUGUGAUAUGUUUAAUUGAACAAAAGGGAGAUCCACGCACAAAAAAAGGGGGAGGCUUAGAAUGUGAAACUACUGCAUUUCUUUUAAGAAAACUCUUUUCAUCAAUCAAGAUAGGAUCACGAGGCGCAGUUUACGUUAUCUUGUUUAAAAUAUUUUUUUUCAUGUCAAUGAAUUAUUAUACUUAUGAAAUUUAAAGAUAUGAUAUGCUGUGAAAUAUUAUGAUAUGGCCAUCCGGUACCAAAGAUAUGAUACUUAUUAAGCUAUUACCGAUUUUAAAGAAAUGAUGACGGUAUGAUUUUUUUUGAAGCAUGAUUUUAAUUCUUUUAUUUGGGAUCGCGCCAUUUAUUUUGUGUCCUACUGAGUAUUUCAAUACUCACCCUUUUCCCUAUAUCUCACAGAUUAGAUCGGGUCGUGUUGAAGCGUAGUGGUUCGAUGGUGUGUUUGUGCCUUGUUUCACUGGAUAAGGAUCUAAGUUGGCAUGUAAUUUUAUUUAUUUUAAGUUUAUUGCAAUAGACAUUUAUUUAUGAAUAAAUUCUCGUACAUGUUUAUUUGCAAAUGAAAAUAUGUAGUUUGCG
rnacentral:lncRNA from 1 species